GGAAGUAUCCUCUCUGCCUGGUGCAUCCGUACGAUUUAGAAGCCCUGUGUCUGUGCUCGCCUCAUAAGACAUCUUCCCCUCUGCCGUUUAAGUACGCUCUCCUCUUCCAUGGGGAAUAAAGAUUCCUGCCAGAGGAGGUGGUGCUGCUUUCUUCUUCAUCUCCCCACCACCUCGCAGACAGCCCGCAUCACAGGCACUAGAUACAUUUUGAGUGAAUACAUGUGAAGGGAAUUUGAAUUCAAGGCCAUCUAGAGAGACUGAAUUCCCUAGUCUUCUGCAGAGUCAGGUAUGAAUAUGUGACGACUUCUGACCAAUGGAGCAUGCGUUGAUGUGAUACAUACCUCUUUCAGACGUGGAAAGCCACAGAAAAGAUGUCUGUUGUUUUCUGCCUUCAAGAGAGUGUGAUGCUGUUCAUACUGGGUCCUUCCUACCUGGCACCAACAAAUCAGGUAUUUCAUGACAGCUUUUCUUCAGAUAAAGCCAUGGUCGCCCCCCCCCAAAAGGAGGCUGGACUAAAUUAAAUCU
rnacentral:lncRNA from 1 species